rnacentral:rRNA from 1 species
GACGAACGCUGGCGGCGUGCUUAACACAUGCAAGUCGAACGGAAAGGCCCAGCUUGCUGGGUGCUCGAGUGGCGAACGGGUGAGUAACACGUGGGUGAUCUGCCUCUAACUUCGGGAUAAGCUUGGGAAACUGGGUCUAAUACCGGAUAGGACAAUCGUUUAGUGUCGGUUGUGGAAAGUUUUUUCGGUUAGGGAUGAGCCCGCGGCCUAUCAGCUUGUUGGUGGGGUAAUGGCCUACCAAGGCGUCGACGGGUAGCCGGCCUGAGAGGGUGGACGGCCACAUUGGGACUGAGAUACGGCCCAGACUCCUACGGGAGGCAGCAGUGAGGAAUAUUGCACAAUGGGCGCAAGCCUGAUGCAGCGACGCCGCAUGGGGGAUGACGGCCUUCGGGUUGUAAACCUCUUUCGACAGGGACGAAGCUUUGGUGACGGUACCUGUAUAAGAAGCACCGGCUAACUACGUG